AAGAUGGCGACCGGCGCACGGGUGAGUAACACGUAUCCAACCUGCCGAUAACUCGGGGAUAGCCUUUCGAAAGAAAGAUUAAUACCGGAUAGCAUACGAAUAUCGCAUGAUAUUUUUAUUUAAAGAAUUUCGGUUAUCGAUGGGGAUGCGUUCCAUUAGUUUGUUGGCGGGGUAACGGCCCACCAAGACUACGAUGGAUAGGGGUUCUGAGAGGAAGGUCCCCCACAUUGGAACUGAGACACGGUCCAA
rnacentral:rRNA from 1 species